UCCUUAUUUAAUCAAAAUAGAUAAAGAAAAAAACAAUCAAAGCAGUUGUUUACCACAUAGACUAAACUAAACUAGAGUAAGUCAACCCUUUAUUUAUCAGUAACCCACAGUAGACCACGGCCUUGAGGAGAUGAUGAUGAUGUUGAUGAUGUUGAUGAUGAUGAUGAUGUUGGGUAUCUCUUACUGUUGCUCAGGACAAGGAUGGGCUCUUUGGAAAUAAGCAAACUUGUCUUGUCAACUGCCAUCUCCACGACCUGCUUGCCCUCCAUCUCACUAUUCCAAAGCCAAGGUGAAAAUCUCAACUGCUCGAGGAAGCCUCCUCAACUGCACGUGCAACACUAUGGAAAGUGUCUGCGACUGUCGACGUGAGGAAGGCCCGGUGCGCGGUGGCAAGAGGAGGCCAAACUUCGGAAUUAUUGAAAGCUUUCUUUUUUCUUUUUUCGCUCCCCCUUUCUAUUCGCUCCCCUAAACAGCGAUAACUUCUCUCUGACCCCAAAGUGACACCGUUUCCAUUUUGUUUCUGAUUAAUCUUGCCCAUUGACAGUCUUUGUUAAACAACAAGGCGUGCCCUUCUCCAACGAGGCGACAUUUUAAUAUUUGUUAGACGCAGUGACCUGAAGUUCACCCUGGACUUGGACUUCGGUUUUCCAGGGUCUACUCGACUCUGGGGAGAUAACGGAGCACCCAACAGCGCCCCAAAAAUAAUAAUAAUUUAAAAAACAGUACAAAACCCACGUAGGUCCAUCUUAAAAAGACUUGCGUCGACUGUGGCACUCCUGUAGCAUAAUGUUAGCCAACUGAAGGGAAGUUUCAGUGUCUCCUCGUCAAGGUUUGAUUUAGAAGGAUAUAAAUAUGUAUAUUUAUUCAAUUUGUAUCAUACUGUUAGGCUUAUGUUAUUGUUGCUCACCUAGGCUCCUGUUUUUCAUGUUCAAACAAGGUCCUGCUCCGAGCUUUGUAUGUGUAAGACGGAAACGAAAGCCAUCGCUAUGGGAUUUGUAUUUUUGUCAGAUAUAGGCCUAUGGCUUUUUACGCAUCUAAAUAGCCAAAGUUGACAGUUGUUAUAUUACGAUUUAGUGUAUUCUGCACCUGUAACUCAUCGUGAAUGACAAGGGCGGAUAUUUUAUUCUGAAGAUCUGGCCUCCAGAACGCAUGUAGCCAAGACCACCUGAGAGCCUAUCUAUCAACAUAAUAGCCAAGGAGGACCGGGCUGCAGAGGAAAAUAUUCCCUCAGCAUUCACUAGGUAGUAAAGAAGCUGGCUGCGGGUGACACUGAACUUGGCCUAAAGCGAGCUCUGCUGGUGGCUCCGGGAGAAUGCAGAUUUAUCUUUCUGCUAUGGCUGACCUCGCGGUGAACCGCGCACUGGGGACGGUUCUUUUUUUCUGCCUGGCAUUGUCUGCCUUGCUGUGCAACGCAUAAAGGACCCUGAUUUGGACAUUUUAAUUGUGUAACAAUGGUGUAAUUUUCUCCCCAGACGACACAAUGAUAAUGGUAUAGAAUAAUGGUUUUACUUACAUUUUCUACACCACAAACUGUAAUGGAAAUAAAGUUACAUUUCGUUGCAUUGGCUAUUUGUUUACACGACUUGGUGAUAUAUGUCAACUGUUAGGUUAAUGGAAGGA